UGCGGGAUCGUCUAAUGGUAGGACGCCGGAUUCUGGCUCCGGUAAUCUAGGUUCGAGUCCUAGUCCCGCAG
rnacentral:tRNA from 1 species